rfam:Termitomyces sp. J132 unplaced genomic scaffold scaffold76, whole genome shotgun sequence.
GGCCGUGUGGCGAAAUGGCAUCGCGUCUGACUACGAUUGCGAAAUCAGGAGAUUGCAGGUUCGACCCCUGUCUCGGUCA